rnacentral:rRNA from 1 species
CCUACGGGAGGCAGCAGUGGGGAAUUUUGCGCAAUGGGCGAGAGCCUGACGCAGCAACGCCGCGUGAGUGAGGACGCCUUUCGAGGUGUAAAGCUCUGUCAGUGGGGACGAAGACGCGGGUGGUGAAGAGCCACCGGUGCUGACGGUACCUUAGGAGGAAGCCCCGGCUAACUACGUGCCAGCAGCCGCGGUAAUACGUAGGGGGCAAGCGUUAUCCGGAAUCACUGGGUGUAAAGGGUGCGUAGGCGGUAGGGCAAGUCAGAUGUGAAAGCCCGGAGCUCAACUCCGGGAUUGCAUUUGAAACUGUCUUACUAGAGUGCAGGAGAGGAAAGCGGAAUUCCUAGUGUAGCGGUGAAAUGCGUAGAUAUUAGGAAGAACACCAGUGGCGAAGGCGGCUUUCUGGACUGUAACUGACGCUGAGGCACGAAAGCGUGGGGAGCGAACAGGAUUAGAUACCCGAGUAGUC